rnacentral:misc_RNA from 1 species
GAAAUGAAACAUCUGAGUGAGGAAUAUGAAUGGAUGGACCUGAGGACUUUUCUGAACUAUUUUAAGUCAAAUCACUCAGAAGUAGUCCAAGUUAAUGAGCAUAAUCGAUUCGUGAUAUUGAUGACAAAACUUUCCAAAAUGAGGCUACGAGAACAAGAUGUCGCUUUCUUAAAACAGUUUGGUAGUCCAAAGACGUCUGAGAUCAACGUUAUGGAUACAGAAGAAAUCAAGAAAUUCUAUGUCAAUGAGCAGGGACGAAAGUUUAGAACAAAAAAUGGCUACAGGAAAUCAGCGAUUGCACAGGUGACAGUGUAUGCAGAGGGAGAAGGCAUCCUGGAGAUUAAUGGGAAAGGAAUCGAAUAUUUUGAAUCCCAGUAUGCCAGGGAGCAGGUGUUGUUUCCCCUGGUGCUGACUAGUUCCCUGAAUAAGGUGGAUGUUCACGCCCGGGUAGAGGGAGGGGGAGAAAUGGGACAGUCGGGCGCCAUCAGGCACGGUCUGUCUAAUGCCCUACUCCCCUUUGUGUCACAGCAAAUGGUCAAUAAAUUGUCUUUAUCUGGCCUACUGGAUAGGGACAGCCGUGUGAAGGAAAGAAACAAGCCCGGACAGAAGAAAGCUCGUAAACAGUUCCAAUGGCGAGCACGUUAAUAGAAAAGGGUGGAUGACUUUAAGAUGUAUUUGUUUGUUUGUAGAAGUAAAUUUUAUCAUAUU